rnacentral:rRNA from 1 species
UACGAAGGGGGCUAGCGUUGUUCGGAAUAACUGGGCGUAAAGCGCACGUAGGCGGAUUGUUAAGUCAGAGGUGAAAUCCCGGGGCUCAACCCCGGAACUGCCUUUGAUACUGGCAAUCUUGAGUCCGAGAGAGGUGAGUGGAAUUCCGAGUGUAGAGGUGAAAUUCGUAGAUAUUCGGAGGAACACCAGUGGCGAAGGCGGCUCACUGGCUCGGUACUGACGCUGAGGUGCGAAAGCGUGGGGAGCAAACAGG